rnacentral:rRNA from 1 species
UACGUAGGGUGCGAGCGUUGUCCGGAAUUAUUGGGCGUAAAGAGCUCGUAGGCGGCUUGUCGCGUCGUCCGUGAAAACCUGCAGCUCAACUGCAGGCUUGCGGUCGAUACGGGCAGGCUAGAGUUCGGUAGGGGAGACUGGAAUUCCUGGAUGUAGCGGUGAAAUGCGCAGAUAUCAGGAGGAACACCGGUGGCGGAAGGCGGGUCUCUGGGCCGAUAUUGACGCUGGAGGAGCGAAAGCGUGGGGAGCGAACAGG